rnacentral:misc_RNA from 1 species
GAUGAAGAACGUAGCGAAAUGCGAUAAGUAAUGUGAAUUGCAGAAUUCAGUGAAUCAUCGAAUCUUUGAACGCACAUUGCGCCCAUUAGUAUUCUAGUGGGCAUGCCUGUUCGAGCGUCAUUAAGUCCACUUAAGCCCUGCUUAGUGUUGGGAGACUGCUCCAGCGGUGCUACCCUGUAGCUACCCUGCAGCUCCUCAAAGACAGCGGCGGAGUUGUGGUAUCCUCUGAGCUUAGUAACUUGUUCUAGCUUUCGAGUACACCACUUCCCCUGCCGUAAAACCCUUAAUUUUUAAUGGUUGACCUCGGAUCAGGUAGGAAUACCCGCUGAACUUAAGCAUAUCAAGAAGCGGAGGA